rnacentral:hammerhead_ribozyme from 1 species
AUCCAAUUGAUGAGUCCAAAAUAGGACGAAGUGUCGCACAUUCUGGAU